AGGUAAUUUUUGAAACUCGCAUCUGAAUCCGCGGUGAGUUUUUGUUUUGGCAUUCUGUAAGACAUGUACUUAAGUUGAAUGCACACUAGCGACACAGUUGCGAGUACGGCGGCGAGUCGAACUAAAGUUGAUGCGAGAUUUUGACGUUUUUAGUAUGAGAUGACAGAUGUAUCCGCAUUCUGUAAGGGUGAUUCCCCGUUCACUUCGCUAUUCACUUCACUUACGAACUCGAUUUGAUCUGUCAAAUAAAAAGUUGAUGUUCGUCGAGUGAAAUUAGUUAUUUGCUGGUGAUAUCGUGUCUAAUAAGACUCAAUAAGUUUCAAUUAAGGUAAUUUAAUAGAUUAAUGUUUAAAAAACUUUAGUGUAGUAUUUUAUCUGGUGCUAGUGUACAUGUUUCUUCUGUUGAAAAUCGCUCAAAUGUUUUUAUUAUUAAAGUGUUUAUUAGAGGAAGCUCAUACUUUGGACAAUUUUGAGUUGCGUCGACAAGCCUAUGAAAUUCGUAGUCUGUCUCUAUUGACCCGAGAUGAUAACUAUGUCAGCGUAUAUAGUCUUUCGAAGCAAUUAAUCGACCAACUCGAGCUUGAGUUGCUCCCUAUAAUAAAAAAGUACCAAACGUCGAAGAAAAGGACUUACAACUCGUAUUAAGGUUUCAUGAAAAAUUGACAAUUUCAAGAUGACAUUGGCAGCAUUGAUGGCACUCUCGUAACUUAAAAAGACCGGCUGAGCAUGAAGAGCGCUUCUUCUGUCGUAAGAAUUAUCAUGCUAGGAUGUGCAAUUGAAAAAAUAUCAUGUGCAAUUGAUUACAGAUGACAGUUUUAUUUUUAAUGAAGAUGUAAGAGAUCACUUAGAGGCUUUGACAAAUGCUGGUGAAGAAAUUGUUUU